rnacentral:rRNA from 1 species
AGCAGCCGCGGUAAUUCCAGCUCCAAUAGCGUAUAUUAAAGUUGUUGCAGUUAAAAAGCUCGUAGUUGAAUUUCGGGGUCAGUAGGUUGGUCGUGCCACUGGUAUGCACUGGCCUCACUGAUCCCUCCCUCUUGUAGAACCGUAAUGCCAUUAAGUUGGUGUUGCGGGGAAACAGGACUGUUACUUUGAAAAAAUUAGAGUGUUUAAAGCAGGCUAACGCUUGAAUACAUUAGCAUGGAAUAAUGAAAUAGGACGAUCGAUCCUAUUUUGUUGGUUUCUAAGAUUGACGUAAUGAUUAAUAGGGAUAGUUGGGGGCAUUAGUAUUCAAUUGUCAGAGGUGAAAUUCUUGGAUUUAUUGAAGACUAACUACUGCGAAAGCAUUUGCCAAGGAUGUUUUCAUUAACCAAGAAC